UCGAUCUUACAGUACCACAAACCAUGUAAUCCCCUUUAGUACCUGUAAAACUAAAAUUGUCAAAUAGUUUCGUGUGAGCUGGGUCGUUGGAACGGACGACACAUACUUUUAAAAGUAUGCUAUUGCGGAGGUAUAUCUCCGGAUUACUUAGUCUACAUUCAGGAGGGUGCAUGUUUCUGUGUGGCGUGGGGGGAUUUGCUGUUCGAAUAUUACGGCAAAGGUGAUUUUCUUUCUCCUCGAAACCAGAUUGAAGUGCAACCAGUGAUGACGAUGACUCAUCGGACCGGAAAAGAGAGGUACACUAUUAAAUCCAGAAGAUUGAGAGGAAAUAUUCUCCGUCUCCAGUUUCUUAUGUAUUUCGUACUCAAAUUUGUCCUUAUAAAAUGAGACCAUACAUUUCCCCUCGUCGUGAGGGGAGGGUGAAAGUGAGAGGGCGAGUGAACUGAAAUAUCAAAUUCGAAACAGGGCAGCUCCUUCCUUCCACACGCAGCAUUCACCUUUCUUGUGGUAUUUUCUCUCCCUCGUGAUCGUGAUAACUGCGUCCAAUCCAAAGCGUAUUGUGAAAGUUGCAUCCCGUCGUUCUGGGUGUAUUGUAAUAUUUGUGAGUAAUUUGAACACAAGGGUAAUUUUUUGCUUAAUCUUUUCGUAUGCCUAAUAAUAUGGACAAGUUAUAGGACAAAAUAUUUCACCUUACACGACAAACCAGGUUUCUCACAAUUCCGGAUGUUGCACCACUAUACACAUGACAAUGGCUUAUAUCUCACAAGAUGGAUUGAUUUAUGGUUGGCUUGAAAUUUGAUGGAAAAUUUAUGCUCCGUUUUGGCUUAUCUAAAAUUGAAAUUAAUGGUGGGUGACUGGGGAGGGGAAAUUAAACCUAAUAAAACAUUCCUGCAGGUUGUGGUUUGUUCUUGCAAAUAUAACAAUAUUAUGAAUUUUCUACUAACAGUUUGACAUAUAAAAUGAAUUUGCAUCCAAGUUGAAAUGAAGCCAAUCAAUCAAAUAUGUGACAAAAAUGAAACUUUGAGUAUUUUCACUUCAUUGCAUUCAUUGCACGAUGGCUAUGAUUGUUUAAUAAACAUCAUAUUAGGAUCUGUUUGAUGAAAAACUAAAAGGUUAAUUUGACAUUGAUUAGAAAAAAUAAUAAUAAUUUACCACGGGACAAUCAUCAUUAUACACUAGGGAAUUUAUGCUUACUUGCAUAUUUUAAAAUAGUGGAGAUAUCAUGACGCGAGUGAACAAAGUGGUCUUUGUUCAUGUUAAAUCCAGGUUACACCAUCUGCCAACAGUUCUCGUGAGUGUUGUG